rnacentral:rRNA from 1 species
GACGAACGCUGGCGGCGUGCUUAACACAUGCAAGUCGAACGGUGAAAGCGGAGCUUGCUCCGCUGGAUCAGUGGCGAACGGGUGAGUAACACGUGGGCAACCUGCCCCUCACUUCGGGAUAACUCCGGGAAACCGGGGCUGAUACCGGAUAUGACCUCCUUGGGCAUCCUUGGAGGUGGAAAGUUUUUCGGUGAGGGAUGGGCCCGCGGCCUAUCAGCUUGUUGGUGAGGUAGUGGCUCACCAAGGCGACGACGGGUAGCCGGCCUGAGAGGGCGACCGGCCAGACGGGGACUGAGACACGGCCCAGACUCCUACGGGAGGCAGCAGUGGGGAAUAGUGCGCAAUGGGCGAAAGCCUGACGCAGCAACGCCGCGUGCGGGAUGACGGCCUUCGGGUUGUAACCGCUUUCAGCAGGGAAGAAGCCGCAAGGUGACGGUACCUGCAGAAGAAGCACCGGCUAACUACGUGCCAGCCGCCGCCGUAA